rnacentral:lncRNA from 12 species
GGGAAAUCCACUGGAGUUUGCAAAGAGAGGGGAGAGAGAUCUUAGCAGACAAUGUUAGGGAAUGCUCAAAUUAGGGGCAUUUGAAGAGUUGUUUUCUUCCAUUUUUCUGAAGCUUCCAUAUUUUCUAUAAUAGUCAUGGCAUUCUCUUUAUAAAUGGUGGGAUGUUUACCUUUAAGUCUGAUAUUAUUUUCACCAUAUAUAUUACUUAGAGAGGUAUAAAGUGUGAUCUAAAUCACAGAUCUAGCUAAUUCAAAUUAUUAUUCUUUUUGUUUCAGGCCUAAUGAAUCAGGACUUCAGUGGAUGGUGCCCAGGAAUCUGAAUUGUCAACAAACUUGCCAGGGCAUUCUUAAGCACACCGAAGUUUAAGAGCCAAUGACCCAGAGUACAGCUGCAUGGACCCUAGGAAACUUCCUGGACUAUUCCCCUUGGUCUCACUUCAUCAGCUCUCUGAGGAAGCCGUGUCUGACCACCUCUUUCCCAAGUCUGGAUUAGAAGCAGGAAAGAAAAAGAAUGGUGUUACCUGUUAUAGAUGUAGGAGUCCAAAUGACAAAGCCUGGUGCAGUCAGAAGAGCAAACAUCUGGGAGAAAAAAUAGCAACCCCGUAUCCUUAUCUGGCCUCCUCAGCUGGACAGGCCUGAAAUCACAGACCCAGGGAAGCCAGGUGGCCAAGCUGAAGCCCAUGAGCCCACAGACAUCAAGGACACGACAUCUGGGAAUGGGACAAGAAAAUGGGUCAGUGCUAGGUAGGCAGUCAAAGAUCCAACAUAGACAAGAGACACACAGAGUCCUUGGAAUCCGGCUUGCUUGUCUCCAAGCCUUGGAGCUGUCCCGGGUACAGCAGAAGACUCUCAGUUACUGAUUAUUUCCUGAGCAGGAUCAGCUGGGCCCGGUGUUCAGAUCUAUCUACAGGGCAGGUCUGUCAUAGCAUCGAUCAUGCAUGACUGCAUGUAACCAUAAACCACAGACGCUGGACAAACAGAAUCCACUGUUUCUGUAGGUCUCUACAGUGGAUAUUUAUCAGAUUUUAUUGCGAGGAAUAACCUGGCUUCCUCAUGGGGAAUUAUCCUUCCACUACUGUCUGUGAUUUGGAGAAAAAAAAUCACGAACUCCAACUGAAUUUCCCACCAACAGGGCCGAUCUUGUGAUUACCGUCCUCACUGCACUUACAGCCCUGGGGGUAGUGAUGUGACCUCAGCUCAACCUAUCAAACACUUGGACUUGAAACUGUGAGCCGGUGAAGUGAGAAUAUGAGAACAACUGGGGUGCCACUUAUUGCAGCAGCCGCCUUUGGGGCACCAAGAGACACAGCUGUGAUGCCAGCAACUGCUCCGAAAGAAUGAUCUUGGAGGGGGAAGAGGCUGCCCACACUUUUGCAAGCCCCCUGUGCACUCCCUUCAUCCUGCCAAGAAGUCCCUAAGCGCACCCAUCAAAUCAGCUGACUUUCCUUCCGUGUCGUCAGUACAUAGCUCUUGCCCGCAGACCAACAAGUCAGUCUGAAACCCUGGAAUGCUGCCCUGAAGUAUCUGUGAAGACACAGAUUUUCACACAAUCGUGGUUUGAACUGGCAAGCCAGUGGCUCCUCCAUUUUUCAGCUAAGUGUGUUUGACACAACACUGCAUUCUGUGUCUAUGCUCCCUC